ensembl:snRNA U1 U1 spliceosomal RNA
AUACUUACCUGGCAGGGGAGAUACCAUGAUCACGAAGGUGGUUUUCCCAGGGCGAGGCUUAUCCAUUGCACUCCGGAUGUGCUGACCCUGCGAUUUCCCCAAAUGUGGGAAACUCGACUGCAUAAUUUGUGGUAGUGGGGGACUGCGUUCGCGCUCUCCCCUG